rnacentral:rRNA from 1 species
AUCUAUGGCUACGCCACCCUGAACAAGCCCGAUCCCGUCUGAUCUCGGAAGCUAAGCAGGGUCGGGCCUGGUUAGUACUUGGAUGGGAGACCACCUAGGAAGACCAGGUGCUGUAGGCG